rnacentral:rRNA from 1 species
GAGUUUGAUCGUGGCUCAGAUUGAACGCUGGCGGCAGGCCUAACACAUGCAAGUCGGGCGGUAGAGAGAAGCUUGCUUCUCUUGAGAGCGGCGGACGGGUGAGUAAUGCCUAGGAAUCUGCCUGGUAGUGGGGGAUAACGCUCGGAAACGGACGCUAAUACCGCAUACGUCCUACGGGAGAAAGCAGGGGACCUUCGGGCCUUGCGCUAUCAGAUGAGCCUAGGUCGGAUUAGCUAGUUGGUGAGGUAAUGGCUCACCAAGGCGACGAUCCGUAACUGGUCUGAGAGGAUGAUCAGUCACACUGGAACUGAGACACGGUCCAGACUCCUACGGGAGGCAGCAGUGGGGAAUAUUGGACAAUGGGCGAAAGCCUGAUCCAGCCAUGCCGCGUGUGUGAAGAAGGUCUUCGGAUUGUAAAGCACUUUAAGUUGGGAGGAAGGGCAGUAAAUUAAUACUUUGCUGUUUUGACGUUACCGACAGAAUAAGCACCGGCUAACUCUGUGCCAGCAGCC